CCUUAAAAAAAAUUGGAUGAUUUGAUACAACAAAAAGACAUUACUCUUAUUUAUGAUAACAGGGAUAAGGAAGCCGUAAUCCUAAUCAAAUAAGCAAAUAAUGACAAUAAAUAUCAAUAUUAAUUCUAAGAGAUCACAUCUAAUAUUCCAUAAUGUUCUAGGGAUAUUAUCUUGAUUUCCAACAAGGCAUAUAUACUUGUACUUAUCUCAAACUUUCAUUCCCCAAUUUAAAUCCAGCUUACUUAGUGGAUCGCUACCACACGCUCACUUUCCACCUUUGUUAUUGAAAAUUUUAUGCUAGAAUCCUAACCAUGUUAUUAUAGAGCCAAAUUGUGUCCCUAAAAGAAAUUUAUAUUCUUAGGAGGAUUUGAUCUUCAGAUUUCAUAUUCUCUAUGUACAUUGUAGCCAUAGUGCUAAAUUGUGAUCUCUUCUAAAUACUGCAAAUUCAGGUUUGGCAGGUGGAUGCUGAUGAAUUGUCUCUUCUUUUAGUUGCAGAAUGACAAGGCUUUACAACGACAGUAUACAUUUCUUGGAAAUGGAAGGGAUGACACUCUCUUUUAUGCUUGGCUUGGCUGUAAAUCUGUAACAGAGGAUAAAAUAGCAUUCAUCUAUCACAUGAAUAUUAUGGCUGAUUCAGCAAGAACUAAUCCAGUUGUGGCUUAAAUUCAUGAGAGUAAGGAGCCAAUUUAGUUUUUUUCAAUACUUCAGAGACUAAUCAUAUUUAAGGGGGAAACAGUUUGGAAUAUAAAAAUUUCAUAGAAGAAAAAGUUACCACAGAUGAAAGCUACAUGAAACACAGGUAGCUUUGUUCAGAGUUCAAGGUACAAGUCAAAACCUUUAGUAGAAAUAUUGAACUCUCAGGAUAAGACAGCUAGUCCUUGGAUGGGAUAGAAUUACUUGUUUUGAAGGAUCAUGACAGCAUAUGACAUGGAUUCUAAUGUCGUGUUUAAUAUCAAUUGAUUUCUACUUUCUAUAAUUUCUUAUAUAGGUAAUACUUAGUGAUGUAUUAUUCUUUAUAUGCGAGUGUAGCUAUAGAAUUUCAAUUUGGAUAUGUAUAAAAUGAGCACAAUAAUUAUGUGUUUAUUGGAUGUACCACAUUUAUCUAGACCAUUAGA